UGCACAGGAUGAGAACCAGGGUCACCUCUACUCUUAGUGCAGCAUCCUUUGGCUAGUUAAUUACAAAAUAAAGUAUUGUAAGGAUAUUGCACUAUUUCUGUUCAGUUGAAUUGCUCUAUAAAAAGCCUACGUGAUUUAAGUGAAAAAAAAAAAAAAAAAGGCAAGUUAUCAGUGGUUAAUCUGAACCUUCCUAUUGCCAUAGAUUUGAUAAACAUCUGUAGACUGUUACUGCCAGCGGAACUGAGCUGCAGGCAGAGAACUCCAUGGAAGUACCAGCUGCAAGUGUCUCUGAAAUAACACCUUAGAAAAACAGGCAGUGGGUGAGCUGCCCUAGUAGCUGCUAGAAGGAAGAAUGGGGGAGCACAACUUCUAUUUAUUUAAACCUUUGUAAUAACCCCACUACCAUCAAGGAAUACAGUUUCAUCUGCAGUAUAUUCCUCAGUAUCCUCAGUGACACUGCACCGUUCAUUCACAAUACCAAAUGGUAAAUGGAAAGCUUUCAGGAAAAAAAAUCACACAGAGAAUCACAGGAGAAUUGCUGGUUGCAUGGACAAUUUCUGACUUCGUUACUUCUAUCACUGCCUGCAAACUGGACAUAAUGAAAAAGCAGAAAACCUGUGAGCUGAUCUUACGCUGAAAGCAAGUCUCUUGUAGUUCUCAAGUUAGUUUGGAUAGCCCUCCUGCUACGCUGAUUUCUGGAAAAAAUGGCACCUGAGAAAGAGAGCCACAUGGAG